rnacentral:rRNA from 1 species
AUUGAACGCUGGCGGCAUGCCUUACACAUGCAAGUCGAACGGCAGCACGGGUGCUUGCACCUGGUGGCGAGUGGCGAACGGGUGAGUAAUACAUCGGAACGUACCUUAUCGUGGGGGAUAACGCAGCGAAAGCUGUGCUAAUACCGCAUACGCCCUGAGGGGGAAAGCGGGGGAUCACAAGACCUCGCGCGAUUAGAGCGGCCGAUGCCUGAUUAGCUUGUUGGUGGGGUAAAAGCCCACCAAGGCGACGGUCAGUAGCUGGUCUGAGAGGACGAUCAGCCACACUGGGACGGAGACACGGCCCAGACUCCUACGGGAGGCAGAAGGGGGAAAUUUUGGACAAUGGGGGCAACCCUGAUCCAGCAAUGCCGCGUGAGUGAAGAAGGCCUUCGGGUUGUAAAGCUCUUUUGUCAGGGAAGAAACACCGGCUCUAACACAGUCCGGGAAUGACGGUACCUGAAGAAUAAGCACCGGCUAACUACGUGCCAGCCGCCGCAGUAA